AAAACUCCGGUGGUAUGGGAUGGGCCCGCGUCUGAUUAGCCAGUUGGCGGGGUAACGGCCCACCAAAGCGACGAUCAGUAGCCGACCUGAGAGGGUGACCGGCCACAUUGGGACUGAGACACGGCCCAAACUCCUACGGGAGGCAGCAGUGGGGAAUAUUGCACAAUGGGGGGAACCCUGAUGCAGCGACGCCGCGUGAGCGAAGAAGUAUCUCGGUAUGUAAAGCUCUAUCAGCAGGGAAGAAAAAUGACGGUACCUGACUAAGAAGCCCCGGCUAACUACGUGCCAGCAGCCGCGGUAAUACGUAGGGGGCAAGCGUUAUCCGGAUUUACUGGGUGUAAAGGGAGCGCAGGCGGCGCGGCAAGUCUGAUGUGAAAGCCCGGGGCUCAACCCCGGGACUGCAUUGGAAACUGUCGCGCUCGAGUGUCGGAGAGGUAAGUGGAAUUCCUAGUGUAGCGGUGAAAUGCGUAGAUAUUAGGAGGAACACCAGUGGCGAAGGCGGCUUACUGGACGACAACUGACGCUGAGGCUCGAAAGCGUGGGGAGCAAACAGGAUUAGAUACCCUGGUAGUCCACGCCGUAAACGAUGAA
rnacentral:rRNA from 1 species